AGGUCAGUAGGUUGGUCAUGCCACUGGUAUGUACUGGUCUCACUGAUUCCUCCUUCCUGAUGAACUGUAAUGCCAUUAAUUUGGUGUUGCAGGGAAUCUGGACUGUUACUUUGAAAAAAUUAGAGUGUUUAAAGCAGGCAUUAGCUUGAAUACAUUAGCAUGGAAUAAUGAAAUAGGACGUUUGAUUCUAUUUUGUUGGUUUCUAGGAUCGACGUA
rnacentral:rRNA from 1 species